GGUGCAAGCUCUUUGAGUGUACCAGUCUUCACAAUAUCAGUCCAGUGAGGCAACUCAAUCUUGCCGGAUCGCUUGAGGUGGGCAGCGUAAGCCUUGACGAACUCGUGAGGAGAAACGUCCUUAACAGUCCUAGCGGUCGCCAUUAUUUAAGAGUCACGUCGAGAGGCCUCCUUUGAUUCAAGCAGAGGCGCUAUUUGCAGAGCUAAAGAUAAAAAACAGGCUC
rnacentral:misc_RNA from 1 species